UACGGAGGGUGCAAGCGUUAUCCGGAUUCACUGGGUUUAAAGGGUGCGUAGGUGGGUUGGUAAGUCAGUGGUGAAAUCUCCGGGCUUAACCUGGAAACUGCCAUUGAUACUAUCAAUCUUGAAUACCUUGGAGGUGAGCGGAAUAUGUCAUGUAGCGGUGAAAUGCUUAGAUAUGACAUAGAACACCAAUUGCGAAGGCAGCUCACUGCACGGUCAUUGACGCUGAGGCACGAAAGCGUGGGGAUCAAACAGG
rnacentral:rRNA from 1 species